GGGACUGUGGCUCAGCGGUAGAGCAUCUGUUUGUCACACAGAAGGUCUUAGGUUCAAUCCCUGGCAUCCCCA